rnacentral:lncRNA from 1 species
UGAUAAUUAAUAACAUGGGGAUGGAUUGAUAACCAAUAACACGGGGCUGGGCUGAUAAUCAAUCACACGGGCUGGAUUGAUAACCAAUAACACAGGUCUGGGUUGAUAACCAAUAUCACAGGUCUGGGUUGAUAAUCAAUAACACGGGGCCAGAUCAAUCACUCAAUAUUGAAAUGAUUUAUUGGAUUGAUAAUCAAUCACACAGGGCUGGAUCGAUCAUCAAUAACACAGGGCUGGAUCGAUAAUCAAUAACACGGGGCGGAUUGAUAACCAAUAACACGGGGCUGGGUUGAUAAUCAAUCACACGGGGUUGGAUUGAUAACCAAUAACACGGGGUUGGAUUGAUAAUCAAUAACAUGGGGUUGGAUUGAUAAUAACAUGGGGAUGGAUUGAUAAUCAAUAACACAGGUCUGGGUUGAUAAUCAAUAACACGGGGCCAGAUCAAUCACUCAAUAUUUAAAUGAUUUAUUGGAUUGAUAAUCAAUCACACAGGGCUGGAUCGAUAAUCAAUCACACAGGGCUGGAUCGAU